rnacentral:tRNA from 1 species
GGGCGAAUGGUUUAGUGGUAUAAUACUCCCUUAGCACGGGUACUCCAAUGGAGACUGUCCUAUGGGAGUGGUCCGGGGUUCGAUUCCCCGUUUGUCCA